rnacentral:rRNA from 1 species
AAAACUUUCAACAACGGAUCUCUUGGUUCUGGCAUCGAUGAAGAACGCAGCGAAAUGCGAUAAGUAAUGUGAAUUGCAGAAUUCAGUGAAUCAUCGAAUCUUUGAACGCACAUUGCGCCCGCCAGUAUUCUGGCGGGCAUGCCUGUCCGAGCGUCAUUUCAACCCUCGAACCCCUCCGGGGGGUCGGCGUUGGGGAUCGGCCCUCCCUCUGCGGGGGCCGUCUCCGAAAUACAGUGGCGGUCUCGCCGCAGCCUCUCCUGCGCAGUAGUUUGCACACUCGCACCGGGAGCGCGGCGCGUCCACAGCCGUUAAACACCCAACUUUCUGAAAUGUUGACCUCGGAUCAGGUAGGAAUACCCGCUGAACUUAAGCAUAUCAAUAAGCGGAGGAAAAGAAACCAACAGGGAUUGCCCCAGUAACGGCGAGUGAAGCGGCAACAGCUCAAAUUUGAAAUCUGGCCCCUAGGGUCCGAGUUGUAAUUUGUAGAGGAUGCUUUUGGUGAGGUGCCGCCCGAGUUCCCUGGAACGGGACGCCACAGAGGGUGAGAGCCCCGUCUGGCUGGCCGCCGAGCCUCUGUAAAGCUCCUUCGACGAGUCGAGUAGUUUGGGAAUGCUGCUCAAAAUGGGAGGUAUAUGUCUUCUAAAGCUAAAUAUUGGCCAGAGACCGAUAGCGCACAAGUAGAGUGAUCGAAAGAUGAAAAGCACCUUGAAAAGAGGGUUAAAUAGUACGUGAAAUUGUUGAAAGGGAAGCGCUUGUGACCAGACUUGGGCGCGGCGGAUCAUCCGGGGUUCUCUCCGGUGCACUUCGCCGCGUCUAGGCCAGCAUCAGUUCGUCGCGGGGGAAAAAGGCUUCGGGAACGUGGCUCCUCCGGGAGUGUUAUAGCCCGUUGCAUAAUACCCUGCGGUGGACUGAGGACCGCGCAUCUGCAAGGAUGCUGGCGUAAUGGUCACCAGCGACCCGUCUUGAAACACGGACCAAGGAGUCGUCUUCGUAUGCGAGUGUUCGGGUGUCAAACCCCUACGCGUAAUGAAAGUGAACGCAGGUGAGAGCUUCGGCGCAUCAUCGACCGAUCCUGAUGUUCUCGGAUGGAUUUGAGUAAGAGCAUACGGGGCCGGACCCGAAAGAAGGUGAACUAUGCCUGUAUAGGGUGAAGCCAGAGGAAACUCUGGUGGAGGCUCGCAGCGGUUCUGACGUGCAAAUCGAUCGUCAAAUAUGGGCAUGGGGGCGAAAGACUAAUCGAACCUUCUAGUAGCUGGUUUCCGCCGAAGUUUCCCUCAGGAUAGCAGUGUUGAGCUCAGUUUUAUGAGGUAAAGCGAAUGAUUAGGGACCCGGGGGCGCUAUAUUGCCUUCAUCCAUUCUCAAACUUUAAAUAUGUAAGAAGCCCUUGUUACUUAGUUGAACGUGGGCAUUCGAAUGUAUCAACACUAGUGGGCCAUUUUUGGUAAGCAGAACUGGCGAUGCGGGAUGAACCGAACGCGAGGUUAAGGUGCCAGAGUAGACGCUCAUCAGACACCACAAAAGGCGUUAGUACAUCUUGACAGCAGGACGGUGGCCAUGGAAGUCGGAAUCCGCUAAGGACUGUGUAACAACUCACCUGCCGAAUGUACUAGCCCUGAAAAUGGAUGGCGCUCAAGCGUCUCACCCAUACCUCGCCCUCGGGGUAGAAACGAUGCCCCGAGGAGUAGGCGGACGUGGAGGUCGUGACGAAGCCUAGGGCGUGAGCCCGGGUCGAACGGCCUCUAGUGCAGAUCUUGGUGGUAGUAGCAAAUACUUCAAUGAGAACUUGAAGGACCGAAGUGGGGAAAGGUUCCAUGUGAACAGCGGUUGGACGUGGGUUAGUCGAUCCUAAGCCAUAGGGAAGUUCCGUUUCAAAGGCGCACUUCGCGCCGUGUGGCGAAAGGGGAGCCGGUCAAUAUUCCGGCACCUGGAUGUGGGUUUUGCGCGGCAACGCAACUGAACGCGGAGACGACGGCGGGGGCCCCGGGCAGAGUUCUCUUUUCUUCUUAACAGUCUAUCACCCUGAAAUCGGUUUGUCCGGAGCUAGGGUUUAAUGGCUGGAAGAGCCCAGCACCUCUGCUGGGUCCGGUGCGCCCUCGACGUCCCUUGAAAAUCCGCGGGAAGGAAUAAUUCUCACGCCAGGUCGUACUCAUAACCGCAGCAGGUCUCCAAGGUGAACAGCCUCUGGUUGAUAGAACAAUGUAGAUAAGGGAAGUCGGCAAAAUAGAUCCGUAAC